rnacentral:misc_RNA from 1 species
GAUGAAGAACGCAGCGAAAUGCGAUAAGUAGUGUGAAUUGCAGAAUUCAGUGAAUCAUCGAAUCUUUGAACGCACAUUGCGCCCGCCAGUACUCUGGCGGGCAUGCCUGUCCGAGCGUCAUUUCAACCCUCGAGCCCCCCCUCCGCCCCCGGCGGCGGCGGGGCUCGGCGUUGGGGGUCCACGGCCCAGCGCCGCCCCCGAAAUGCAGUGGCGACCCCGCCGCGGCCUCCCCUGCGCAGUAGCUCCCAGAGAACCUCGCACCGGAAGCGCGGAGGCGGUCACGCCGUAAAACAACCUCCUCCUGGAAGUUGACCUCGGAUCAGGUAGGGAUACCCGCUGAACUUAAGCAUAUCAAUAAGCGGAGGA